GACGAACGCUGGCGGCGUGCUUAACACAUGCAAGUCGAGCGGAGCGGCGAACGGGUGAGUAACGCGUGAGUAACUGCCCCCCUCUCUGGGAUAACAGUUGGAAACGGCUGCUAAUACCGGAUAGUGUGGGAUGGCCCGCGGCCUAUCAGCUUGUUGGUGGGGUAAUGGCCUACCAAGGCGGCGACGGGUAGCCGGCCUGAGAGGGUGGACGGCCACAUUGGGCUGAGACACGGCCCAGACUCCUACGGGAGGCAGCAGUGGGGAAUAUUGCACAAUGGGCGGAAGCCUGAUGCAGCGACGCCGCGUGGGGGAUGCCGGCCUUCGGGUUGUAAACUCCUUUCACCAUCGACGCGGUAGAUGGAGAAGAAGCACCGGCUAACUACGUGCCAGCAGCCGCGGUAAUAC
rnacentral:rRNA from 1 species